UGGUUCAAUGGGUAGAUCUCUCGUUUCACAAGCGAGAGGUGCUGGGUUCGAGACCCAGCAUCACC
rnacentral:ncRNA from 13 species